CAGCCGAGCACCAAGAUCUCUCUUCCUUCCUCCUCCUCCUCCUCCUCCUCCAGUCGUCUCCUCCGGCCAGCGCGAGCGAGCGAGCUUGAGAGAGGUUGGUACCCUGCAGGUAGCCAUGGACGGCCACCGCCGCGGGGCGCGCCGAAUUCUGGCGCUCGAGGCGGCGUUCAAGCAAUGCCCCCACCCCGACGAGACCCAGGUCGCUAAUCUGAGCCGCGAAACUGGCAUGACGCCCCAGCAGAUCAAAUACUGGUUCCAGACCCGGCGGGCGCAGAUCAAGGGAUCUUCGUCGAACACGAGGCCUCCGACCCAGGGAUCUUCAUCGUCGGAUCCUUGAUGCUCAUUCGACAACUUCGGGGAGGCUGAUCCGCUCAUGGUGGCUGAUGUUCCUCACUAUCGUGGUCUUCCUCAGCUUAGUGUUUGUGUGUGUGUUUCGGCUUGUUAGCCAAGGACCCCUUUCGGGUUUUUAUCGUGUGUGUGUGUGUGUCAGCUCUUGAGCGUUGAGCCCGCCUGGAACCUAAUGGGUUUGUAUCGUGUUUGUGUUUGUGCGCGCGCGCGCGUCGGCUCUUGAGCCUUGGACCCUAGAUGGGUUUGUAUCCUGUUUGUGUUGUGUUUGCGUUGCAUUUGAAUUUUAAACUCUGCCA